rnacentral:tRNA from 1 species
GAAAAGUAUUUCUACGGCCUUCUAAGCCGUAGGCCGCAGGUUCGAAUCCUGC